ACACCAAAACCCUAAAUAUACAAAGCUUUUUCGAAGUUGAUCAUCAAUGGCGUCAAUUGUUCUUCUACUCACACAAAUCCUUCACCCUACAAUCUCUGAAUUCCCUUCUUCUUCCUCCAUAAUUCUUACACCAUCUUCUUCUUCUCCAUCUUUCCAUUACACGCAUCAACAGAAAUCUCCAAGACCCGACAGUUUCAAGAUCUCACCUCUUCACGAAGAUCCGCAAGAUUCAAGAGUUAUGAUCGAUUUGUUCUAGACUUAAACUAUCUUUCUCCCGCUUUGUGUAAUUUUUGCUCUUUUGGCCACAAGUUGUAAAAUCACUUAUGAGGAUAUUAAUGGGAACCUUCACAUACUUAUGUCUUGUCAAAGUCU